rnacentral:rRNA from 1 species
GUAGUUAGCCGUGGCUUCCUCCUUAGGUACCGUCAUUAUCGUCCCUAAAGACAGAGCUUUACAAUCCGAAGACCUUCAUCACUCACGCGGCGUUGCUGCAUCAGGCUUUCGCCCAUUGUGCAAUAUUCCCCACUGCUGCCUCCCGUAGGAGUCUGGACCGUGUCUCAGUUCCAGUGUGGCCGAUCAGCCUCUCAGCUCGGCUACCCAUCGUCGGCUUGGUGGGCUGUUAUCUCACCAACUACCUAAUGGGACGCGAACCCCUCUAAAAGCGAUAAAUCUUUGACCUCUUCCCGAUGCCGGGUUGUGGUCUUAUGCGGUAUUAGCAGUUGUUUCCACCUGUUAUUCCCCACUCUUAGGCAGGUUGUUCACGCGUUACUCACCCGUGCGCCACUAGAAUUAUCAAUUCCAUCCGAAAACUUCCUUAAUAAUCCCCGUUCGACUUGCAUGUGUUAGGCACGCCGCCAGCGUUCGUCCUGAGCCAGAAUCGAACCCUCGA